rnacentral:rRNA from 1 species
CCUACGGGAGGCAGCAGUGAGGAAUAUUGGUCAAUGGGCGAGAGCCUGAACCAGCCAAGUAGCGUGCAGGAUGACUGCCCUAUGGGUUGUAAACUGCUUUUAUGCGGGAAUAAAGUCCACUACGUGUAGUGGUUUGUAUGUACCGCAUGAAUAAGGACCGGCUAAUUCCGUGCCAGCAGCCGCGGUAAUA